CCUACGGGAGGCAGCAGUGAGGAAUAUUGGUCAAUGGACGAAAGUCUGAACCAGCCAUGCCGCGUGCAGGAAGACGGCUCUAUGAGUUGUAAACUGCUUUUGUACGAGGGUAAACGGAGAUACGCGUAUGUGUCUGAAAGUACCGUACGAAUAAGGAUCGGCUAACUCCGUGCCAGCAGCCGCGGUAAUACGGAGGAUUCGAGCGUUAUCCGGAUUUAUUGGGUUUAAAGGGUGCGUAGGCGGGCUGUUAAGUUAGAGGUGAAAGCCCGCGGCUCAACUUCGGAAUUGCACCUGAUACUGUUCGGCUUGAGCGUAGUUGCGGUAGGCGGAAUGUUUGGUGUAGCGGUGACAUGCUUA
rnacentral:rRNA from 1 species